UACGUAGGGGGCUAGCGUUGUCCGGAAUCAUUGGGCGUAAAGAGCGUGUAGGCGGCCAAACAGGUCCGUUGUGAAAACUGGAGGCUCAACUUCCAGACGUCGACGGAAACCGUGUGGCUAGAGUCCGGAAGAGGAGAGUGGAAUUCCUGGUGUAGCGGUGAAAUGCGCAGAUAUCAGGAAGAACACCAAUGGCGAAGGCAGCUCUCUGGGACGGUACUGACGCUGAGACGCGAAAGCGUGGGGAGCGAACAGG
rnacentral:rRNA from 1 species